UAAUAAAAUAAUUAUGUUUUUAUGAUUUUAAUAUAAAUUUAUUUUACAUAUAAAUUUUAGUAUAUAAUUUUAAUUAUUUAAAUAAUAAUUAAUUAAAUUUGUAGUAAUUAAUAUUAAAAAUUUAAGAAAUUAAGAUUUAGAAAUAUUAAAAUUAAUAACUAAUUUUGUGCCAGCAGUUGCGGUUAAACAAAAAUUAAAUUAAAAUAUUUCAGUUUAUAAUAAAUAACAAUAUUUUUAAAUUAAAUGUUGAAUUAUUAAGUGAAAUUUUAAUUUAAUUAAAUUUUAUUUAGAAAUUAUGAUUUAAUAAAUUUUAAUAUAAACUAGGAUUAGAUACCCUAUUAUUAAAAAUUUAAUUUAUAAUACUAAAAUAAUAGAUAAUAAUUUAUUGAAACUUAAAUAAUAUGGCGGUAUUUUAGUUCAUUUAGAGGAAUCUGUCUAAUAAUUGAUAAUCCACGAAUAAAUUUACUUAAUUUAUAAUUUUGUAUAUCAUUGUUAAAAAAAUAUUUUUUAGUAAAAAUAAUAUUUUAAAUUUUAUAAUAAAAGUUAAUUCAGAUCAAGAUGCAGAAUAUAAUUAAGAAUAUGAUGGAUUACAAUAAAAUAUAUUUAAAUGAAUAAUUUUAUUGAAAUAUAAAUUUGAAAGUGGAUUUAAAUGUAAUUUUAAUUAAUUUAUUAAAAUGAUUAAAAAUUAAAAUAUGUACAUAUUGCCCGUCACUUUCAUUUAAAAAUUGAAAUAAGUCGUAACAAAGUAGAGGUACUGGAAAGUGUUUCUAGAAAGAU
rnacentral:rRNA from 1 species